UGCGCAGCAACUCCUAUCCCUACCUCCAGGCGGUACUGGCCAAGGUAUGAGCAACCUUAGAGAAGAUUGGGUAAAUACGGUGGGAACUUUGGUUGAAUGAUGACAGGGAAGA
rnacentral:ribozyme from 1 species